rnacentral:rRNA from 1 species
AUUGAACGCUGGCGGCAUGCUUUACACAUGCAAGUCGAACGGUAACAGGCCUUCGGGUGCUGACGAGUGGCGAACGGGUGAGUAAUGCAUCGGAACGUGCCCAGAGGUGGGGGAUAACGCAGCGAAAGCUGUGCUAAUACCGCAUGUGAUCUGAGGAUGAAAGCGGGGGACCAGGCAGCAAUGUUUGGCCUCGCGCCUUUGGAGCGGCCGAUGUCAGAUUAGGUAGUUGGUGGGGUAAAGGCCUACCAAGCCGACGAUCUGUAGCUGGUCUGAGAGGACGACCAGCCACACUGGGACUGAGACACGGCCCAGACUCCUACGGGAGGCAGCAGUGGGGAAUUUUGGACAAUGGGCGCAAGCCUGAUCCAGCAAUGCCGCGUGCGGGAAGAAGGCCUUCGGGUUGUAAACCGCUUUUGUACGGAACGAAAAGGCUCUGGCUAAUACCUGGGGCUGAUGACGGUACCGUAAGAAUAAGCACCGGCUAACCACGUG